AGAGUUUGAUCAUGGCUCAGGACGAACGCUGGCGGCGUGCUUAACACAUGCAAGUCGAGCGGAAAGGCCCUUUGGGGUACUCGAGCGGCGAACGGGUGAGUAACACGUGAGGAACCUGCCUUGGCUCUGGGAUAGCUUCGGGAAACCGGGAUUAAUACCGGAUAUGACUGCUGUCGGCAUCGAUGGUGGUGGAAAGUUUU
rnacentral:rRNA from 1 species